rnacentral:tRNA from 1 species
GCGCCGGUGAUGUAACGUAGAGCAUUCCCGACGGGCCAGCAGGAGGUGCGGGUUCGAGUCCCGCCUGGCGCG